rnacentral:lncRNA from 1 species
AUGAAUAGAAAUAGCCAUAAAUAUGCAAAGGGAGAAAGAAAUCCAUUAGGAAAUACUUAUUGCCAAUCCUCUAAGGAACAUGAGAUGGAAAAUUCUAAUGAGCUUACCAUAAAACUUCCCUGGCUCAGAGACGUGACUUUUCUGAGUUCCUUCAUAUUUCACUGUAUCUCUGGUAAAGCUACUGGUCAUCACUGCCCAACUAUGCAUCCCAUAUGGUUUUGUGAAGCUGCCAAUCAUAGGACCCUACUCCCUGGCCUAACGGUGGACAUGCAACACAGGCAGGACCAAGCAGAGUAUAAUAUCUUCUUGACCAUGAUGGUUGGUCCGGGGAUAGGUAAGUGAGUCAAGUCACUCGUAAUUUUCCCUGGAAAUAUUCAAAAUGAAGCUGAAAAAAAUAUCUUCUCUUUUGGGAACGAUAACUGGGAUGAUAUAAGCCCCAAACUGCUGGCAGAUAGGUUUUCUGCCAGUGGAAAAUAGCCCAUCUGUUAUAGCAGAGAGCGAAGCCAAGUAGAAGUAAGUAAACAUGAGACGGAGUGAACAAGAAAGAAAAUCCUGAUGGUACUGAGUCCCCGUUUGAAUUUUCGAAGCUCCAGAACCUAUCUGGUUCCUGAAGGUCUUCUGUCAAAUCUCAACAUUUUCCUAGUAUAUUUAUAAUAAUAUAGACAUAGCUAUAGAGAUAUAACUGUGGGGAAUAUUUGGCCUUUCUCUGCCCACCUCUCUCCUGGUUACCCCACCCAGUAGAGGAAAGGAAGAGAUACCACCCCGAUUAGUUAGGACCCCAGACACAUUGAGGGUUAUGACUUAUUAUUGGGUGAUUUCACUCUUAGUGAUGGUGAUUAUUGUGGGGAUGGCAUGGUGGUGACAAGAGGGCUCAUCUUUGUAAUAAUAGCACUGCUCCUGGGUGUGCCAAAAGUGCCUGGAUGUCCUGAAGUUAUCCUAGUUAUGAUUUUCCUCUGCAGGCGAGGUGGGGCUCAGUGUCUAGGAAAGGAGGUGGUAGAGAACUCAUAGCUGGUAUGGAAUAAUAGAAUCUGAGCAGACAAACUGCACGAGUUAUUUUACACAAACUCUAAGGGAGUUAUGGCAAACUCUUAUGGCAGAAAGCAAAGAAGAACUAAAGAGCCUCUUGAUGAAAGUGAAAGGGGAGAGUGAAAAAGUUGGCUUAAAGCUCAACAUUCAGAAAACUAAGAUCAUG